AAGCACUAAUCUCCAACCUCAAUUGAUUGGUAGUUGGAGACUUUUAGCAGCUCAAUCCAAUGAUUCCUAAAACCUUCCAACUUUUUGGAGCCAUUUUGCUCCUCUUCUUGUUUCAGUUACCAAACAGAAUCCAAUCAAAACCAAGUGGAAAUCCUUUUGGGUUUAUCCAACACCUAGAGGGAUGCCACAAGGGUGAAUCUAUAAGUGGGCUCAAGGACCUUAAACGAUAUCUUGAGAAAUUUGGGUACUUGAAUUACGCCGAAAAAAGCAGAAACAACCAUGCAAAUGAUGAUGAGUUUGAUGAUCUUUUGGAGGCAGCAAUCAAGGAUUACCAACACUACUAUCACCUGCAAGCCACAGGAGUUUUAGACAAUAAUACAGUAUCUCAAAUGACGAAACCUAGAUGUGGGGUGCCAGAUGUUGUAAAAAAUGGCACAAACAAGCACUACCAUAAUCCCAAAUCCAUCCACUCAGUAGCCCAUUUCAGCUUCUUCCCUGGACCCCGAAGAUGGCCAGCUGAGAGAAGCCAUUUAAGAUACAGGUUUCGUUCCAGUGUGCAAGUCCCUGGAACUGGAAACUUCAGGUCUAUAUGUGCACAAGCUUUUCAGAGAUGGGCACAAGUUACCCACUUCACAUUCGAGGAAGUUGAUGCUAAUUCUGAGGCAGAAAUCGAGAUUGGAUUUCACAGGAGGUUCCAUGGAGAUGGGAACCCUUUUGAUGGAAUAUCAGGGACUUUAGCACAUGCAUUUGCACCAACUAAUGGAAGGUGCCAUUUUGAUGGAGAUGAGAUAUGGAGUGCAAAUCCUGGACCUAAUGAGGUGGACUUGGAAUCAGUUGCAGUGCAUGAAAUAGGGCAUCUUCUGGGUCUUGACCACAGUGAGGAUCGAAAUGCUAUAAUGUAUUCUACCUUUGAUUAUGGGAUUACCAAAAGGGAAUUGGGUACUGAUGAUAUUCAAGGAAUUCGUACUCUGUAUGGAUUGCAGUAAUAGUUGCAUUAUUUUAUUGUAAUAAGAGCAAUUGAGAUCCAAUAUGCUUUGGAGGCUUAGUGCUAUAUUGUUCGAAUGUAAUAUUUCUAAUAUUUUUCCCUUAUAUCACCGGUUAAAAGAAUCACAUGGCUGCUUAAAGGUUUUAUGAUAUAGGACUAAUUAGAUUUCGUCAAGAGUUUUAACUGAUAAUAUUUUAAUGGAUUUAUUAAUGGAUCUUAUAUUUAUUAGUAAAUUAUUUUUCUUUUAAUUUACUAUAAAUCUAAAAUCCGUUAAUAAUAAUAACGGAAAUUCCAUUAGUAAAUAUGUUUAUAUUUACUAAUAGAUUUAAAAAUCGUUGACAAGCUUUUUAAUAAGGGAUUGUAAUCCGUUGGUAAACAAAUUAUCAAUGGAUUUUUAUUAGAUUACCAAUGAAAAAAUUUGUUGGUAAUGCAGAAGUUUCUUGUAGUGAGAUUCACCAUUAUCUUAAUUUUAUAAUUUCUUAAAUAAUAAAAGUGAUAGGAUGCAAAUUCUGCCUAUUUAAUAUAUAUUUUAACGUAUUUAAUUUGAUUUGAUUCUGUUAAAUUAUAGUUAUUUCUUUUCCUUUUGUAGUAUUGACAGAUUUUAUUCAUUCUGAAAAGAAAAGUUUUAUUUUGAAUGUUUAGACAAGAAUUAGAAUUGGAGUCGUAAAGCUAGUCUUGAGUACGUCUCACACACAGUGAGCACAACUUACAUUAAAUGACUUAUACGGAGCAAUGAAUAGAGUCAUGAAAUAAAUCUUAGGCACGCUUCAAAUCAUGGUCGCAAAUAGAAUUCAUUGAGAAGCAAAUAAAACCAUAGAGUAAACCUUGGACUAAGCGUACACAGAUUUGUAGCAUAACUUAUGCAAUAUCACGGGAUUUUCAUAUCUAAUUCUUUAUUAAAUUGCAGAAACCAGUUUAUGAAGAAUUGAUUUUAGAAAGAAAAAAAACUUUUAGAUGGUUACUUCUAGAUUUUUUUUAUUUCUCUUAAGAAAAGUUCUUUGAAGUGAGAACUUUUGAAACUUCUUAUACUUUACCUUUUUGCUUUUAUAAUUGGUUGCGACAUGAGUUACGGUGGCAAAUCUUUUUUAUCUAGUUAGGGAACUUUCGAGGUGUAUCCUUCUUAUUUUUAGUUUUUAUAUUAUCCCUUUGUUCUUUAGAAUUUUAUUUAUUUAAUUGAUGUAAUAUAUCCAAUUGCUCAAUUGAGUAAAUAGCAUAUAAUCAUUUAAAUUCAUUUAGUCUCUUCUUAUUUCUAGUUUCUAUAUUAUUCUUUUAUUCUUUAGAAUUUUAUUUAUUUAGUUGAUGUAAUCUAUCCAAUUGCUCAAUUGAGUAAAUAACAUAUAAUCAUUCAUAUUCAUUUAGUCAGUAAUUAUUUGUGAGUUUUAUAUUUGUGACAAACAAUAUUUUAUUGUGAAAUAAGAUAUUAUGAUUUCAUAGUUGCGCUGGUAUGACCUUCUUGGUUAGAAUCGGGUCUUUCUAAUUUUAAAUGCCGUUAUCAAAUUAAAUCUUAUUAAAUUUAUCAUAUAGUUUGUUUGUUGAUUAGGGGCUAAUUAGUAAACUGAUCCUUUUUAGUCUAUUAUCUAACGAAAAAUUAAAUUGUUAGAACGUGUCAAUAAUUAUAACUAGCUGACCAGAAAUUAAUUUAAAUAUUCUUGCAUCUAUGAUCAAUCUCGAAAAUUAACACCAAGAUACUCUCGAAAUUAAAUAUUUUUUAAAUCUAAUUAAUCUCUUUAAUUAUUUGCUUCUUAAUUAGUUUACUUUUACAUUCAAUUAAAUCUCUUUAAUCUAAAACCCCAUACUUUUAUAUUUUAUUUUACUUUAUUUUUAGAGUAAACUACAAUUUAGUCCCUCUAGUUUAGUGAAAUAUAACCUUUCAUCCCUCUGUUUUUAAAAAUCGUCAAUUUAGUUACUGUGAUUUUUAAAAAUUAUGCCAUUAGUCCCUCCCGUUAGAUUUUCAGUUAAGUCACCAUUAGUUUUAGUUAAAAGACUAAAAUACCCAUUCUCUCAUCCACCUCAUCAGUCUAUCAUGGAAUUGUGUCCUCUGUUGCCAUGGAUGUCUAGAGCUUCCACAAGAAAAACAAGGGUGUUAAGUUAACAGUGGCAAAGAAAUCUUACAGACAAUUAGUAAGAAAUUUUACAUGAUAAGACCAAAGAACUUGGUCUUGGAUCCCACUUUGGAUGUUCAGAUUUUGAAAUCAAAACAAAAUUUUUUUAAAUAAGCAACUGAUAAUCACAACAGAGGGACCAAUAGCAUAAUUUUUAAGAUAGAGGAUCUUGAAGAUGGAGGAGUACUCAUUUCGAAUCAUCCUAAAAAAAGCCCGAAUCGAGAGUUUUGCUUCGUGGGUUUGCAGAUAUGGAUGCUAGAACUCCAUUCUCUCACCCACAAUUCCAUCGACUGCAAUUCCAUGAUAGAAAAUAGCUGGAGAGAAUUGGAAAGAACCUUUGGAGAAAGAUCAUAGACAUUAGAACAGCGCAUGCUGAUUAACCUACGCAAGCAUUUGACUUCUGCGGCCACAUCGGCCGUGUUCAUCCGUACCUUCACCAUAUCUUCUCCCUAUUCAAAGAUCGCUCUUUAUCUCUGUGUCCUUGUGAAUGGAACUGGAGAAGAUAUCCGUAGCAAAAGGAGUUGUCUUUCGAUUUCAAAAUAUGGAGAAAGGUCUUCGCCUUGCUCGCUACCGCCUGGUGCCUGGAUAAUUUCCAGUUCCGACAUGCUUUGCGAUGUCGUUUUGUCCAUCAUCUUUGAAGAAUACACUUGCUGCAAAAUAUGUGAUCAAAAUCUGUAGCUUAAGUGUUCGGUAGAAGUAGGUGGCUUCAUUUAAUGUUUACUGUUACCAUUGCUUGAUCUGUUGCUUAAAACACUCUCUGCCACAAUUGUUGAUGAUGUUGUCUUGCUAGAGUUGUUUUCUAAAGAGUUUUGAAGAAACACAAUCCAUUGAUAGACUGAUGAGGUGGGUGAGAGAAUGGGUAUUUUAGUUUUUUAACUAAAACUAACGAUGACUUAACUGAAAAUCUAACGGGAGGGACUAAUGGCAUAAUUUUUAAAAAUCACAAUGACUAAAUUGAUGAUUUUUUAAAACAGAGGGACGAAAUGUUAAAUUGCACUAAACUAGAGGGACUAAAUUGUAGUUUACCCUUAUUUUUAUCAAGGAAUAAAAUUAAACAGUAAUUUUUGAAUUUAAUCCUACUCACUAUAUUUAUAAUUAUUUAUAAUAAGAGCAUGAUUUAUUUUUAUUGGAUUCGACACCUAUUAAAAAUUAUUUUAAAAUAACUUAUUUUACAAAUCAAAAUACAUAAUUAUAAAAUAAUAUAUGAAUAUAUUCCUCUUAUUUUGAUUAACAAAAUUUAUUAUAAAAUCAUGAUUUAUGCAUUCAAGGUUCAAUGUACACAAUAAUAAACACUUCUUUUACAAAUUAAUAUUUCAAAAAUAAAUACUAUAGUUUUUAAAUUUAUUUAAUAAAAAAACAUAAUUAAGUCAGAAGAAUGGAUUUUAAAAGAAGCUUUUAUACGUGUAAAAGUUGAGAAAAUUACAAAACCUAAUACAAAUAAAUCAAUACGAAGAUGGAUGAUUUGGUUGCUCCAUUUACAAACUGAUCUUUUAUUAAUAAAUUAUUUAAAAUUAUAAUACAUGGUAUAUAAAUUAAAAACUAUAGAUAAUAAUUAAAUUGGUUAUAAUAUUUAUUAUUAUAUAAUAAAAAUUAUAUACAUAUAAAAAAUAAUUAUAUUUUCAAUUAUAUUAUAUAUGUUAUAUAAUAAAUUAAUAUUUUUAUAUUUAUUUUAUUAACAUAGUAAAUUAAUAAUAUCGUCAUUAGUCAUUUUAUAUGUCUAGACAUAGUAUACAAAAGCAGGCUUAGCCUGGUGGAAAGUGCAUCCUGUAGCCUUGAAAGGUCUAAGGUUUGACUCCUCCAACCCCUAUUUCAAAAAAAAAAAAAAAGACAUAAUAUACAAAACACAUAAGGUAUAUCAGUUAAAAUUAAUUACCAGCGAUAAACUAUCAAUAACUAUUAUCAAUUAUAUUUAACAGGUAAAUAAAACAUUUUUUAAUUUGAUAGUGAUUAUUCUCUGAUUAGCUUUCAGUUUACACUGCACUAUCAAUUGCAAUUUAUUCCUUUUGAAUUAAUAUAUUUUUUUAAUUCAAAUAAAAUUAAGCUCCUAAUUUUUUUUAAGCAAUGAGUUAUGCCAAUGCAUUCAAUUUGUUUUUCCAUAUUACAAGACUAAUUAAAUUAAUUUAGUCAUCGUUGAAUUAAGCAAUUUAAGUUUUCCUAUAAUGAAAAAAAACUUACGAAAAACACUUAAAAAAAACAUUCAUCAGACAUAUAAUUGAAUCGAGUCGAAUUAAUUUUUAUAAAGCACACAUUUGUUUAUUAAAAAAUUUUGGAAACUCGACCUCAAACUGACUUCAACUCGAUUCAAAAAUUAAAUAUUAUAAUAGAAUUCGGUUCGAACUCGACACUUUAAAAACCCGUUUAAUAUAAUAAUGAGCCUAAUUUAACUCGUAAAAAAUUUAUUUAAUAUAAUAAUAAAUCUAAUUUAAAUUUAAAUUCGAGAAACUCAGAUUAAAAAGUUCGAGCUCGAAAAAUACUAAAAUAAUUGGAUGAUUUAUUUCUAGCUUUAAUCAAUUAAAUUAAAAGUUAAAACGAUAUACUAUUAUUUAAUUCACAUCAGAUCAACUUAUCUUGCAUCCAUCUAAAGAUAUCAAAUAAUUAAUUAGUUAGAAGACCUUCUAGAGUGUCAAUAACAAUAAUGCCUAUGAAAUAGUUUUCUCCCCACUUGCUUUUCAUUGUUUAUAAAGGAAUUUAAUAAGAAUGUCUUAAAAGUGUUGAUUUGAUUUGUCGACAUAAAUUGAGAAAAAAAAAAAAGAACUGGAAACGACGAAACAAUUCAUAUAUAUAAUAACAAGUUUUUCCAAAAAGAGAAAAGACAAUAUUUUCUCCUAAAUCUAAAGUAAAAACAGACUUAAAAAAAAAAAAAAGAAACUGUAUGUUUCUCCAAAAUUUAACAAUAAUUCGUGUAUGUGUCUCCAAAAUUUAAUAUAAAAUUUUGAAUAUGCAAAUUAACAAUUUAUUUGAGUGUAUCAAUAAUUUGGAUUGAACAAAUAAUUUUCUCAAUUUCCUCAUUUUUUAGGAAGGCUUUGUAGUGCGUCAAGGGCAGUGGGUUCCAAGCAACUAAAUAAUUAGAUUGACUUCCCACUUGCUUUUCCUUAUUGGCAACGGGAAAAUAAGACCACUUAAUGAGAUUAAUUACUAGGAAAUGAUAAACAUCAAUAAAUAAAUAAUUAAAGAGGAAGACUAGGUAGACUAUUCUUCUGAUGGCCAGAAAUUUUCAUAUACUUUAACAUAGAAAUUAAGCAUUUUCCCUGAGUCUAAAUUAACCCCUUGUUGAAGACAAGACUUUUAGAAGUCUUUCCUACUAAUCAUAUAUAGAAACUAAGCACUAUAAAUAGAUACAGAAACUCCAUUCAUUCCCACCAAGCAAAAGCACUAAUUUCCAACCUCAAUUGAUUGGUAGUCGGAGAAUUUUAGCAGUUCAAUCCAAUGAUUCCUAAAAACUUCCAACUUUUUGGAGCUAUUUUGCUCCUCUUCUUGUUUCAGUUACCAAACAGAAUCCAAUCAAAACCAAGCGGAAAUCCUUUUGGGUUUAUCCAACACCUAGAGGGAUGCCACAAGGGUGAAUCUAUAAGUGGGCUCAAGGACCUUAAACGAUAUCUUGAGAAAUUUGGGUACUUGAAUUACGCCAAAAGUAACAGCAACAACCAUGCAAAUGAUGAUGAGUUUGAUGAUCUUUUGGAGGCAGCAAUCAAGGAUUACCAACACUACUAUCAC
rnacentral:lncRNA from 1 species